rnacentral:rRNA from 1 species
GAUGAACGCUGGCGGCGUGCCUAAUACAUGCAAGUCGAGCGAACAGACGAGGAGCUUGCUCCUCUGACGUUAGCGGCGGACGGGUGAGUAACACGUGGAUAACCUACCUAUAAGACUGGGAUAACUUCGGGAAACCGGAGCUAAUACCGGAUAAUAUAUUGAACCGCAUGGUUCAAUAGUGAAGGCCGGUUUUGCUGUCACUUAUAGAUGGAUCCGCGCCGCAUUAGCUAGUUGGUAAGGUAACGGCUUACCAAGGCGACGAUGCGUAGCCGACCUGAGAGGGUGAUCGGCCACACUGGAACUGAGACACGGUCCAGACUCCUACGGGAGGCAGCAGUAGGGAAUCUUCCGCAAUGGGCGAAAGCCUGACGGAGCAACGCCGCGUGAGUGAUGAAGGUCUUCGGAUCGUAAAACUCUGUUAUUAGGGAAGAACAAAUGUGUAAGUAACUAUGCACGUCUUGACGGUACCUAAUCAGAAAGCCACGGCUAACUACGUG